GAUGAACGCUGGCGGCGUGCCUAAUACAUGCAAGUCGAACGGACAGACGCGGAUCUUGCUCCUCUCACGUUUGCGGCACGCGUGUGUAUCACACGUGUAUCCCCUCCCUAUAAUACUGGGAUCUCUUCGGAACUCCGGCUCUAAUCCCGGAGGAUCUCUUGCACCGCGUUGUGGGAUGGAAAGAGUCGGUUUUUGUGUCUCUUCUCGCUGCAUACGCGCCGCAUUAGCUAGUAGUUAAGGUAACAGGUUACCAAGGCAACGAUGCGUAGACGACCUGAGAGGGUGAUCGGCCACACUGGAACUGAGACACCGUCCAUACGACUACGGUACGCAGCAGUAGGGAAUGUUCCGCAAUGGUGGAAAGCCUUACGCAGCAACGCCGCGUGAGUUAUGAAGGUCCUCGGAUCGUAAAACUCUGUUACUAGGGAAGAACAAAUGUGUAAGUAAAUAUGGACGUCUUGACGGUACCUAAUAAGAAAGCCACGGCUAACUACGUG
rnacentral:rRNA from 1 species